rnacentral:rRNA from 1 species
GUGUCAGCAGCCGCGGUAAUACAGAGGGUGCAAGCGUUAAUCGGAAUUACUGGGCGUAAAGGGAGCGUAGGUGGCUCUAUAAGUCAGAUGUGAAAUCCCCGGGCUUAACCUGGGAACUGCAUCUGAAACUGUAGAGCUGGAGUAUGUGAGAGGAAGGUAGAAUUCCAGGUGUAGCGGUGAAAUGCGUAGAGAUCUGGAGGAAUACCGAUGGCGAAGGCAGCCUUCUGGCAUAAUACUGACACUGAGGCUCGAAAGCGUGGGUAGCAAACAG